rnacentral:rRNA from 1 species
UGGGGAAUAUUGCACAAUGGGGGAAACCCUGAUGCAGCGACGCCGCGUGGAGGAAGAAGGUCUUCGGAUUGUAAACUCCUGUUGUUGAGGAAGAUAAUGACGGUACUCAACAAGGAAGUGACGGCUAACUACGUGCCAGCAGCCGCGGUAAAACGUAGGUCACAAGCGUUGUCCGGAAUUACUGGGUGUAAAGGGCAUGCAGGCGGUUCAUCAAGUAGGAUGUGAAAUCCCCGGGCUCAACCUGGGAACAGCAUACUAAACUGGUGGACUAGAGUAUUGCAGGGGAGACGGAAUUCCAGGUGUAGCGGUGGAAUGCGUAGAUAUCUGGAAGAAC